UGGCGGACGGGUGAGUAACGCGUGGGUAACCUGCCUUGUACUGGGGGACAACAGUUAGAAAUGACUGCUAAUACCGCAUAAGCGCACAGUAUCGCAUGAUACGGUGUGAAAAACUCCGGUGGUACAAGAUGGACCCGCGUCUGAUUAGCUAGUUGGUAGGGUAACGGCUACCAAGGCGACGAUCAGUAGCCGACCUGAGAGGGUGACCGGCCACAUUGGGACUGAGACACGGCCCAA
rnacentral:rRNA from 1 species